rnacentral:rRNA from 1 species
AUUGAACGCUAGCGGGAUGCUUUACACAUGCAAGUCGAACGGCAGCGCGGACUUCGGUCUGGCGGCGAGUGGCGAACGGGUGAGUAAUGUAUCGGAACGUGCCCAGUAGCGGGGGAUAACUACGCGAAAGCGUAGCUAAUACCGCAUACGCCCUACGGGGGAAAGUAGGGGAUCGUAAGACCUUGCACUAUUGGAGCGGCCGAUAUCGGAUUAGCUAGUUGGUGAGGUAACGGCUCACCAAGGCGACGAUCCGUAGCUGGUUUGAGAGGACGACCAGCCACACUGGGACUGAGACACGGCCCAGACUCCUACGGGAGGCAGCAGUGGGGAAUUUUGGACAAUGGGGGCAACCCUGAUCCAGCCAUCCCGCGUGUGCGAUGAAGGCCUUCGGGUUGUAAAGCACUUUUGGCAGGAAAGAAACGUCGCGGGCUAAUACCCCGUGGAACUGACGGUACCUGCAGAAUAAGCACCGGCUAACUACGUG